AUAGACGUAGGGCCCGCUCGGUACGCUGUCAUUGUUUAGGGGGGUUCUUAAUUAUAGCAUGAAAGUCCGAGUUGGAGGAAUGAUAUUGGGCUUGAGAAGUGAGCAAGGAACCUGACAUAACAUUCCUAUGGUUCCUCUGUCCCGGUCUUGCACCACUCUCAUAUCCAUCAAUCAAUUUCAUAGAUAGUUACUAUGGUUGUUUCUUCCUCCAUUCACUAAAACAAAUGGAACCUUUCCCUCCUCGAGUCAGCAAGCCAACUCGAGCGUUUUACCCUCGUGUCACUAGCGCAACACGAGCCAUUCAAAAAAAAGUCUUGGAACUGAAGAGAAAUCCAUCUCUAUACAAACUCUUUAUGUUCUUGAUAUUGAUUGAGUUACGAGAAUGAAGAAGCGUAGCACACCUUUUCUCUCAAUUCAAGUUUCCAUUCAAUAAGUGCAUCAAGUAUUUCGUAUAGAAAGAAAAGGAACCACUUCUCUUCUCUUAAGUAUAUGAAAAAUAGCUUUUUGGUCCCUUUCGUCCAGAGCUUAGGACAUCGUCUUUUCAUGUCGAAGACACGGGUUCGAUUCCCGUAAGGGAUAGGUACUUAUUCCCGGCCGGCGGUAUCAAGAACCCGGAUAGUCAGUAGGAAACUCCAAUCUGCAAGCGGAACAACGAGUUUAGAAGGCACGUUCUUGAAAGAGCAGGCUGACUAUGAAACUCAUAUAAGGCUCGCGAUCGGGUGCAUUGUUGACUCGGGGGCGGUUCCAUAGGCGGAUACUCUAAGACGGAUCAAGUUGGGCUAUAUAUUAUGGAAAGUUGACCCUACUUUCCAAUUUCGUAGAUAGAACAGUUCCAGUAGAAGGUUAACCCGGCCUUCCUAAGAGUACUAGGUUAAAGGGGAGACCUCUAAAGCCCAGAAAGAACUAUCCUAUCCCUUUAGGAAUCCAAAAGCGCCGUAUCUGUGGAUCACUAAGGGCUAUACCCAAUGAGCAAAGUAGAAAGAGCCUAGGAAAAUGCAUCUUCUCCCUAUUCAGUCAGCAGUUGUCCAUCGACUAGUAUUACUUACCGCACCGCCCGGCGAUAAGGGAUUUCUCAGUGAUAGACCCACGAGAGCGUGUGUGCCAGUGACAAAAGAAGUGCGAGACGAUCUGGGAAGUGAGGGAUGCCCUUCCUGGGUAUCACGAGCGGCGAGGCAGGUACGGCUGGAGGAAAAGCAAGGCAACAGGGUGCUAGGUUUAAGCAAGUAUUGUCCGUCCGAUCAUUGGAAUCGUCUUAGCCGAAAAAGGCAGAUCUGGUUUCACUAGUAGGAAGAACACCCUUCUAAGGUGAAGGUAUUCCAUUUCUAAGAAGGAAGUUCUAUAUAUUCGAACUAUAGAGAAGCUCUAAAAUGGAAAUCGAAAAGGAACCCCUUGUCCGUCCAGGUACUCACCCCGCCGGAACUCGCAAUCAAACAUAGGGUUGGCAAACUAGGAAGGCACAGAAAAGAAGGCAGUUGCGAAGGCGAGCAAGGUAUUUUUGAAUUUCCUCAAAUUGAUUCAUCAAUGAAGUAGUUGAAUUGAAGUAAAUGUGCCUACGAAAGAAGAGUUUUCGAUAUGGAUAUGCGAACAGGAAGAAAGCAAGCAUAUAUUACUAUUGCAUUGGCAACGAACACCAUCAAACAAAGAUAGCUAUUGAGGAGGAAGACCUGGAUAGGGAGCCAGUUACGAAUAAACCUGGGACUAGGAAACCCCGAACUACGAAUGGAAACACUUUUUCAAGCAGGGGUAAACGGAUCUGGUUAGGAAGCCGGAGAUGGAAGAGAGGGUGUCGUGUCGGAUCUUCAAUCGGGGCAAACAACGGAUGCUCGGGAUAAAGCUGGACUUCGAUUGGUUUUUGAUGGAUAUGAGCUUUCCCUGAAUAAGGAUCCAAAUAUGCUUCCUAAAACAGCAUGCGCAAUGGUGGGCCGAGUACAUAGCAUAGCGUAUAUCAAGUAUCCAAUGCCUUCCGAAUAAGGAAUGGAAGCCGACUUAAUAAAACUACAUCUUGCUGAUGUAGGUGUAGGCAGGUAUUCUAAAAGGAGUGACAAUAUUGGGUGUAAGGAUUCUUCUAUGCAAACAUUGACCACUCGUAUGGUAGCCUCACAACCAUCUACAAGGGAGACUUCCACCUCAACCUGAAGUUCACCCACGUGGAGCCUUUACUAGUCGGAGUGGUAAGACUACAACCGAUCCUCUUCCCCAAUGCCAGCGUUGUAUGUACCACCUGCCUUCUACCCUAGCCGGCCCAAUACCUUCUCCGCAGGGACCUCAACAGUUCACUACUUCUGCUGCACAGCCUAGUUCUUCUACACCAGCAGCUAUUGCUCCUAAUAAUCCAUCAUCAAUCUGCUUCACCUGUCAACCCGAAGCUGCCAUUUCCAGAACGGUUUGUGAAGUCAACUGAAGACAAACAGAUUGCGAAGUUUCUGGAUAUGAUGACAGAUAUGCAGAUUACCACCCCCAUCCUUGAUGGUGUCUUACAGGUGCCGAUGUAUACACAGUUCUUUAAGGACCAGCUCGCAAAGAAGCGAAACAUUAAUGAGCCAGAACUGGUUACUCUUACUAAGGAAUGUAGUGCACUCGUUCAAAUAAGCUACCUCUCAACUUAGAUGAGCCUGCCAGUUUCAGUAUUCCAUGCUUGAUAGGAAGUCAAAAUUUCCAUGCUUUAUGUGGUCUUGGGUCUACUGUGAUUCCCUUCAUUAUCUACGAGCCACUACCAUUGGGUGAUGUACGACCGACUAGCAUCACUCUCCACCUUGCUGAUGAGGAUCCGGCAGACAUUUUGGGUGAUAUCCCUGCGAUAGUUGGUAACUUCGCAUUUCCAGUUGAUUUUGUUGUCUUGGAGAUGUAGGAUAAGAGCUUUCCUAUUUUUUGGGGGGAGACCUUUUCUAGCUACUACAGGGGCUGUCAUCGAUGUGAAAGAUGCUAAGCUCACGCUUCAAUUUGGUGAGGAGAAAGUCUCAUUUGACAUUAGGUAUAUCUUCCAACUCACCUUCCUCACUGACAGACCAUAGUAAGCAAUAUGAAACGAGUCACUUAAGCCCUAGUAAAAGGCUACUCUUUGAAUCCCCUCUUUAAGGCAUAUAAAAUUAGUACUCUUCCUGAGCUAGCUUAAGCAUAUCUCGAGCGAGUGAGUUUCCCUCCAUCAAGUUCUAAGCGAUCAAAUAAGGUCCUUGCUCUCGAGCCAAUGCCAAUACCAAUAGAUAGGGUCUAAAUGAAGGAUUAAAAGGAGGUUACCGGUUAAGGGCAAAUGUAAUCUCUGAGCCAGUUGGAGAAAAAAGGCAAUCAAAGAAAGUUUCAGUUGGACUUUCCCUGCCAACCCUACCCAAAUUUCAUACCCUGCAGUUUUCAUUCCUCUAUUGAUAUUUCGUUCCUCGAAUCGAGACUUUCUUUGUCGAGGAUCUCUGGUUUAGGGUACUCCAUCGAGUUUCAGUUUCUUCUUCUAAUGGCUGUGUCCGUCUAAGGUGGCUAUUUGAGCGAUUUAAGUAUCGCGGUUGUCUUGAGCUCUGGAUUGAUGGACGAAAACCCGGGGCUGGGUUCGAUUUCAACUCGGAGAUAGCCGGGUCUAUAGUAAGAACCGCUUUGUGAACAGCAUCGGAUGACAUAGCCAGGGUAGGCGCAAUAGAGCAAUUAUGCCUUAAGCCCAAAACUCUUCCUUCUAGGGAUCAGAUCAACCUAAAGCACUAUCAGUUGUGGAUUCAUCCACAAAGUCUUUCUACUUAGCUCGUAAAGCGAAGUAGCUAUCAACGGCUUUAGCAUGACAACUAGAACAUCAAGCCAUGGUAAACUGCCAAAGCUUCUGCUGUAGUGUAGCACCAGGGUUCAGCCUUCUCCUUGCCGUGUUGCAUCGCCCACAUCGUGUUCAAUUGGAAAGUCUGGCAAAGACGCUUCCAACUCCUGGUUCAGGGUCUGAGGUUACCAAACAAAGAUGAAUCCUGCGCAAUUAGAGAUUAAGCCAUAAGAUCCCACCCCGAAACUGGAAGAGUCGGGGGCACCUACCGAAGGAGUCUUCCCUCCAUCGAUUCAAUGACAAAAUAGCUCUAUUGAGAGGGCCUUUGACAACCCUCUUGAAUGUGGCUCGCUCCUAGUUUUUCUUCCCCCGCCUGUUCUAUCUAGGCUGGUGGCUAUACCAGAUUUCGUGUCUGAUCGAACUUGAAACUAGCCCAUUGAGCUUCUUGGAUUCCAAACCGGAAAGAAGGAUCGCACAUAAGAAAAUAGAGUUGGAAUGAAAGAUGGGGUAAAGAUGAACUUUAUUCUCCUAGCUGCUCUCCAUCCAGCAAGUUACUCUCUUUCAAAAGAUGACAACUCAAGAUUACCAAUCAAAACCAACGCUUUUUCUACUCCUAUAGCUUCAUCAUUACAUCUUUCACUAGUUGUUGGAUGUGAGUGAUGAGAUCGAUCCAUGGAAUUUUUACCUCACUCACAUACUUUGGAAGAUGAAGAAAUUCUCUUAAAUUUACUUAUGGGCUAGCUCUACAUGUGGUCAGAUGGGUUCCCCUCUUCAGUCAUUUGGUACCUCUCCAACGCUUCCUCCUAUUCCUAUUGAUCAGAUCAAAGCCAAACCUAUCUAGUCUUGCACGUUGUCACCCACCGCUCUUGCCAAAAACAAAGAAAUUCUAUCUUGGGAACUAAAAAAGAAUCGGAAUGGGAAGUAUUUAUUUCUUGAUUCUCCGGCUAGCAUCCUUACUUCCUUCUUCAAUGGAAAUUCUAUGUUUUGGCUCGGUAUAAACCAAAAAAUGAGAAAUUCUCUUAUUUGUAGAAAAGUCUUCUUUUGGUUAAAUCUGGAGAACCCAGUCGAAACUCUGAUUCAUGUUUGUGGAUUUUAAUAGCUCUCCUAUCUACCCGGAAAUGAUCUUCUACCUUUACUGUCUGUGUUCUUUACAUAUCUUUUGAUUGUUUUUCAAAUCAUUGUGUCGUUACAAAUUCAGUGGUUGCACCCUUGUGAGCAAGUUGUUGCCGGAUUGGAUAGGAGAAGUGAAACAAAGCUACGAAGGAUAAAAAUUAGCUAAAGAAGUUAAGAAGAGCAUUAGUGAAGCGAGAGGAGGACAAGAUGGUUGGGAAGAGGAGGAAGGGGUAUUAAGGAAAAAUGGGAGGCUUUAUGUGGGGACCGCUGGAAAUGCAAGAGCUAGGAUAGCGCAAGAACUGCAUGGAACAGCUACCGGAGGCCAUUCAGGUAUACUAGCUUCCUAUAAGAGAACUAAUAGGAACUUUGUCUGGCCAGGAAUGGAUGCCUCUCUUGAGGACAGACUGUGACGGUAAAGCAACAACAUCAACUCGCAAUGGCCCUCGUGCCAUGAGACAUGGAUUUUAGUCGACGUAGAUUGGAUCGAAAGAUCACACUUCCGCUCUUCUCCUAUCGGACUAGUCACUUCCCACUCUCCUCAAGUGAACAGUUUAGCCACUAUCCUCCCAUAUACUCUGCUUUUUCAUUGCUUAUGAACUGGAACUUGUUGGUGCAUGGAUUUCAUGUUUCAGCAGCACUUUGGUUUGUGCAUGGUUGUGAAAAGAAGGCUUUCUAUACACUUAUAUGAACUUCAUUGGCAAAACAAAGAGAAGCUUGCCUUGAUAAAGCACAGCCUUUCACACUCCAAUAGGCAUAUAUUGUUACAAGGUUAUGCCCAAAGGUCUCAAAAACGCCGGUGCUACAUAUCAACGCGCCAUGACUAAGAUCUUCGAUGAGAUAAUACAUAAGAUUGUCGAGUUCUAUGUAGAUGAUCUCGUUGUAAAGGCGGUAUCCUAUUAAGAACAUCUUCAACAUCUCAGAAUCGUAUUCGACCGCCUAAGGCAACAUGCACUCAAGUUAAACCCAUUGAAGUGCGCCUUCAUGGUCUCGUCAGGCAAAUUCCUUUUGAUUCUGUUGUCAGAGGUGCCUUUCAAUUUCAUUGACCUUGGUACUGCAUUUCAUAGAUACCUUCGCUAUUAUAGUAACGCAAUUCUCCACUGAACCCAUUGACCUAGGUACCGAGCCUUUUAUGCGUACGUCUUUUCGGACUCUUUAUUUGUUUGUGGACAACAAAAAUGCAAACAUGAGAAAAGGGGACCAUUCCAUUUUGAACACACCCAUCUAUCUCAUCUGACCUCUCCGAAUUCCCGAGUAACGAACCAUGGGCUAUAGAUGGUUGGGACAUAUCAUCAUCCGGAGGGAGUGGUCUUAAUACUGAUGUCUUUCUUUAACCUUUGGGAGGUCAAACCACUGAACCUAUUUCUUUGACCUUGGGACUGAUAGAUAAGAAGGCAAGGCAGAAGAACCAAUUGAAUCGCGGAGAACAGGUAGCUCCGGCAUGUGAACUUGUCGAACCAUUCAACUAUACUGUAUAUCGAUUGGCCACAUCAACGCAUUUCACCUUGGAACUUGUACUUGGAAUAGAGCCAGCCUUGAGAUCCGCCACAUCUUCCUUCAAGUCAGAGAGUUGAGAUAGAACAGCUUCGCCUUUGACCGGUUUGCUGCUUUCCUUUAUACACAAGCCCCUAUUAUUAAGGUAUGGAGGUUUUUUCUGGAAUGACCAAAGAACAAGAGAAGUUCAAUGAGGUGCAAACACAAGAAUUAAAGCAACGAGGACAAGUGCUAGGAUAGGAUCCCGAAGGAUGGCAUGCCUAUUUAGCAACAUGCAGAAAGGAUGGCUUCACGCAAGAAUCUUGAUGAACCAGGUAUGUCUUCUACUAACAGAUAUGCUAUUUGCAAUUCCAUUGAUUCUGCUAGUCUAGUAAAAUCUGCUGUAGAUAGUGGUCUAGUGUUGGGCAGUAGACAGGAGGAAAUUGACAGGUCUAUAAAUUCUAUUAAAGCAAGAGAACUUGCUCAAGCAUUGCUUUAUGAAGUUGCUCAGAAAAAGAAGUUAGCUGCUCAUGAGAAGGAGCAGUCUUCCAGUGUCGAGUUAAGCUCUGAUUCAGAGAAUGAGGAUAUUACUCAGAUUGUUGAAGAGUUAGAUAAUCACAGUACUUGUAUACCAGUUGGUGACAAGAACACUACGAGCAGAGCUAAGAGGAGGCAUAACAAAAAAUAGAUACCGCCAUGAAGACACUAAUCUUGAAUGUGAGGGGCCUGGCCAGGUAGAAGGGGGCAACCUUCUGAAGUGAUAGAGUGGGUGGACAUAGUUUGUGUUCAAGAAACUAAGAGAGAACAGUUCUCAGAUAAAGAGUUAAUGGCAAUUGGUGGCAGAAAGCUUUUCAAGUGGUUUUGCAAGCCAGCCAGUGGCAGUAAGGGUGGAAUGCUUAUUGGAGUCAAUCUGGAUGUCAUGGAUGCAGACCUCAUUGGGGAGGGUCAAUUUCUCCAUGGUGUUUGAGUAUAGAGGCUUUGUGAUAAUUGUGCUUGGGUGGAUGUUUAUGGUCCAACCAAAUUUAAGAGCUAUGUUUUUGUCAGAGCUCACUAACUUUGUGCAGAGUGUUGAUCUACCUUUGCGGGACAUGAUCAGAUUUGCUCAUGAAACAAUGGCAGAAUACAUAUUAAUAGGAUGGAAGCUUUUAAUGCUUUCAUAUCUGAAACUGAACUACAGGAACUGAGAAGGGUUGGUGGCCUGGACUAACAAACAAGACAGGCCAGUGAGAGAAGUUUUGGAUAGAGUUCUGGUUUCUUCAACUUAUGAGGAUUUAUUUCCUAAGUUUUACUUCCCUCUUGCAAGCUGGGUCAGAUCAUUGUCCUUUACUUCUAGAAAAUGGGGAAGAUAGGGGCUGCCACUAAGUUUUGUUUUGAACCAUCUGCAAGAAGGGUUUAGAGAUAUGCCGUUACAGAAAUGGCCUACAAGAACUGUUGCAAAUGUUCCAUUCCAGACUAUUGGCAACAAGUGUCUCAAGGCUUCAGGAAGUUCUUGAGAGGGUGGAAGGAAAAUGAUGCUACUGACAAUAGAAGAAGUAAAUCCAAUCCCUGCUUUAGCCUUGCUGCUUAUUCACUGGCAAUCCAACCAUACCAUUCUUGUCUAUCAGGAUCAGUCUUUCCCUCAAGUCACCUUAACAUGCUUCUUUCUUUCCUUCACUAUGCAAAUACAAAACUAGGUUGCGGACGCAUAAAGCCACUGAUACUAUUGGUCAGAAGUAUGAUUUGACAAAAACUACUACUUUAGCAGCUAUGCGAAAUGGAAGUUUCCUUCUUCUUGCUUGUUUGGCCGUCCGAAAGGAGAUACAGAUAUCGGGGAGAAAGCAGCUCUCUGAGCGAUGGAUACCGAUCGAUCUCGGUUAUUUUCAUUGAUCCUGGCCUAUCUCCAUAGCGCUCACCCGGAUGGAAUUCACUCAGCUCUAGGCCGCAUCCAUCUGGUUGGCAUGAGAAAGAAGGCAAUUCCUUCCUUGGGUCAGAUCUCCGUUCCGGGAUGGAAGAAAGAAAUGAUGGUUUGGAUGAGCAAUUGGGAAACACAGAUGGGGUCAUGGAUGGAUACCUAAUGUGAGAUGCAUGCAUUUCGGAUAGAAUGUCACACUGGCUCUGGAGUGCCCGGGGGCGAUAGAUAUAUGGAUAUAUAGAAGGAAGGGAACAUCGUCUGUGAGCUCUCUCUCCUAAUCCACUUUCUUAUUGCAAAGGCUCCAACAGAGCAAAGUUGUACAAAAAGAAGUAUGCAUAUGGUCGUUCCCCUUCGAAAGGCAAUGGAAAGCAAGGGUCCCGCUAGCAUUGAGGAAGGAAGCGGUGAGACCAGUUCAGCCAUAACCUUGAAUGAAUUUAUAUAAGCCAGGAUCUUGUACCGGGUACGGAGACUCUCUAGUGAUGCUCCCCUACCCCCCUCUGCCUAGGGUAAUAAGCUGGAGUGAUAAGCUUAAGGUAAUAGCACAUAGAGAGCUAAUACCAUAUCCCGCCCGGCUCCGCCUUUAGCUGACCCAGCCUGGACUUCCCCUUCAAGCGUUCAAGAAUAAGCAUGGGAGUCGAAUAGAGAUGGCACUUGGAAACUACCGUUGGUAUUUCAGGUUUCACAUUGUACAGAAUGAAAUCAUCGAUAGGGCUCGCCCCGAAGAGAGGAUGCCGCGCUUAAUAGAAAAUUGUUUAGUUUAGGCAUUUAGCUUAGCUUAAAAUAGAUAUGUAACAUGAUGUACUUACACGUGCAACCACUCCGUCUUCUAGACCAGGGUCAUAAUUGAACCCACAACAAACCUUAGAUGAUGUGACUUCUCCACCCUCUAGGCAAUUCAAAACUGGUCCCAUUAGCUCGAAUUUACUAAUGUUAGAAAGGAAGACGAAGGUGCCAAAACAAAGCAUUUGUUUCAAGCACUGUCGUGUCCUUGAGCUUCAAAGUCUCCAAAAUCUUGAUCGAGAAGAGUAAGCAUUGCCUGGUGAGGAAGAGCGGAAGCAUAGGUUUUUGGAUCCUAGCGAAGGAGUUUCAAGCACGGAUUACGCUUCUAAAGAGAACUAUUUGGCUUGGCCCCUUCCUACCAAAGAUUUGAGAUAACUAAAGCGACUCGCAGUCAAAACUGGUGGAGCCAACGCCAAAGAGGAAAUGUGUAGAUAGUAGGUGAGCGCCUAGCCCCUUAGUCUUUCGGAUCGGAAGAUUCAUUGGUUUCAUCCAAAGGCUUCUGUCUCGUCUUUCUCAAAUUGUUGAUCGAGGAUCAAAGACAUUGCUAAAGCAGACGCCUACCAAACGGGAGUUCUUGUACCUGCUAGAACAGCAUCUGCUCGAACUUUUGUUUCUUAGAAAAGAAAAUAUGAACUCACAAUGUGCAACAGAAAUGUACCCACCGGUUGAGAAACCACCAUAGUUGGAUGAUUGCUCGCGCUAGUAAGACAGCUUUGACUCUUCUUGAUCGUGAUCUGGUGAUCGGUCACACCCUCUUUAGAGGUUCUAGGCCCUGCCUAUUGAGUCAUCUACCACAGAAACAGAGUCUCGUGAUGAUCCUGGUACAAAAGGUUCGUCAGGCCCGCAUUCAGAGACUUCUGCCUCAGACUCAUAUCCAUAAAGAUAUUCUCUCGCUUUCUAGCUGUACCCUUCUUCACACCCACCACGGAGGUUAGAGAUUUCCCGUUAUCAACAUUGUCCAGGCAGGACUCUAUUUUUAGAAUGCUUGGAGCCAACCAAACAGUUUGCUACGUCCCUCGAGAAAAUCAAAACUUCAUUGGAAAUUCAGGACCAACUUAGGAAGGCACGGACUCAUACUUUGUAAGGUCGAAGUCCACACAUAAGAAAAUAACUAGUGCCUAGGAAUACCCCCUUCUUCACCAAAGGGUGCAGUUAACUAACCCAAUUCACCGGGAUCAGACGCUAUCUCAGACAUUUAGCUAAGAUGUUAUGCUCUUUUGAUUGAAUUAUAAGAGAAUUCAAUCCCUAAUUGGGCGUACCUUCGUUGACAUCGAAACGCGCUCGCUUGAAGCCCCUACGGAGGCGGGUUUGUAAGAGAAAUAAGAGGUGAAUUAGCGCAGUUAAGAACUUCCUAAGGGCUACCACCGGUGGCCACCUCAAAUAAUGGAUCAAUUGGAGCUUAUUUGUUAAAGCCACCACCCUGGUAUCACAGAUCCAACUUGGUUCAACGAAUAUAAACAAGAAUUUAAAGGGAUAAAAAUUAAUGGCCGCCGCAUUGCUCGUGUAAUUUGCUAAUCCAAAUUCAACAUUUAAGUGCAUUUCAGUAGCUUGAAACGAAGUCAUUGCUACUGGCUUCACUAUUUUAGAGAUUACUCUGGGCAGAAUCCACCGACUUCAAUAGCUAAUUGGACCACUGCCUCCUUCAACAGGAGUAAUAAAAAUGCUUUCUACCGUCGCCUACUUCUCCGAGAGACCAGUCUAAAACCAACCAAAAGGUGAACAAAAUAAGUCAUAACAGAGGUUUCGAGAGUGCCCAACUUCACCACCCGCUCUUAGAUUCCAGAAUUCGUGGCCUGAGCUUCAUUCAUUGAUUUAUUCGGGUGCAUUCCUUUCGCACCCCGGUCAAUGAAAUUCCUGAAUUCAAGUACCUCGACUUUCCAAUAUUGAUAGUUCGCGAAAGAACUAAGAUCUUCAAGGCUAUACCAACUGAGCUAUCCUGACCAUUUAUGGAAUCUAGAUUCCCCGGUUUUCUUCCUAGCUCGGACUCCUUGUCUGGAAUAGGUCGCAUAACAACCCCCCAGAGGGAGACUCGAGUUAUUUACUUCUUUGUUAAAAUAGAUUAUAUAGCCAUGAUGGUUGGUCAAGUGGACAAUGCCCAGGUGGGUAGACCCAUAUAGUAGGGGAGAUAAAUGCCCUGCAGUGCUAUUGAGACCGAUCUAGGUUAUUGAUGGCUUUUAUUUAAAGACAAGGAGCUUAAAGGUGAUGGAUAAGGCUUUCACCCAUCCGAUACUGAGUAAUCCGUUAAUCGAUCCCCAAGGGAAGGGUACUUGUAUCUAUAGCAGAUUGGUGUUUCAAGCAGGCCAGCCCACUCUUAACAACAAUGCAAUCAGUCCAUUCACUCAAAACCGGAACCCACACUCAAAGUUAAGGUCAAUACUCCAUUUAUACAUACCAGCCUCGACAGAGGGGGAGCACCUACAGCAUAAUCACUCAUGAACACAUAUUGACUCACUUCUAGAUAGAUUAGUUGAUUCACAAUGCCCGCAGAUACCUAUAUAUGUUAUUGAACCUUUUUAUUGGAAUAUGUUUAUCUAAGGCAGACUGAACUAGUCUUAAUAUAUGGAAGAUCUUGGGGACAAGGAGCUUAAACGUUAUCGAUCGACAUAUUGGCUCGAUCGGGGCCCAGGCUCUGCCCUCCGAGCACUUAAGCAUGCAUCCGGAUUCGGGCUCUGGGCUUGCUCAUCAAUAUGUCAGUGUGGCAAGUGCUUAAUGUAGCAUUCUUGUCAAGGACUUCCCAAUGUUUCAAUAGAGUCCAGGGAUCUGCAGGCUUGUAUUGGGAAUGCCAUCCGCUUCCAGCGUGCGGUUGACCGGGCUGCCAUCACAAUAAUCUAGGGUUCGCGUAUGCUCUAGCAUUCAUUCUUGUUCUUGGUCUUGCUUGUUCUCCCUGGAUCUCACUGCUUCCUUCCUACCCCCGGUAGCAAAAGUCACGAGAUUAGUUAUUUAAAACGGGCCUUCUGCCUUGGAUUGCUUUGGCCCAUUUGACUGGAUUCCCAUAUGGCACCUUGCCCAUAAAAGCGAACUACUAACUUCGGUGAAGGAAGAAGCAAGUUCCCAAGAGAAGUGAAGUCAUCAACCUGGUAUUAGUUUGCCAAUCUAAAAGUCAAGUGAUACAGGUCGGGAUGGGAAGAAAGAAGCGAUUUCCUCGAAUUUGCUUUCGAAAAGGUGUAGCUGCAUGGAACAAAAUCCACAUUGCCAGUUCUCAAUUAUGAGUAACUUGCAGGAUGAAAGAUUCUUAUUAUUGUUAGCACCUCUGCUCUACCUUUCACACUAGCUUCCCGUCGCUCGAAGUACACUUCUCAACCACUAACUAUCUCGCUCGAUUUCUCCCGUAACUCUUCCACCUACUCCUUUGAUGAAAGGUGAAGAUUGUUGGGUUGAUCCUUCGAUUUGGGCAUCGUAGGGCGCUUCUUCAGUCAGUGGGCAACGAAUUCCGGAUAUCUAGUAUGAACAGAGUGAACUGUUAUGAUAUAAAUAAUCCGUUGGAAAGCAUGAGGUCUCACUUAUGUUCAGUGCUUUUCUAUUUCUAGCGCAAUUGAAGAAUAAUUGGCGACGCUCUGCGAUAAUAUGUUUUAGGGAUAGCCUAAUGCUAUUUAGGAUUCGGAUUCUCGACUAUUGGUAUGAUCGGAACUAGUAUUUAGAUAUAUACGACCCUCUACUGGUUUGACCUUCGAAAGGCGGAGAAAGUGGGGUUCAGGGCUUUAGGGCAUACAAUGGGUUAUGGGGUCCAUGGUACACGGAUGCGCUAACCAGCGAGAAAAGGCCUAGCACUUAACUCGUCCGGUGCGGGUCUAUUUCUCCCUUCGGGUCCUCUACACCUGUAAAAAGGAAAGGAGUCGUCAGGGCUUGGUUUUCUUUAAUACCGCUAGGCCUUUCUCAAUCUGUCUUCUUUGGAAAAAAGUGCAUUUUACUAAGAUCCGAUGGCUUUGAAUCCGCUAGACCCCAACCAAAGCAUAGAGAUGGAUUCCUAGCAUGAGGUGGAUUAGAGGGCGUCCUAGCCGUAAAUGAUAGAUACUGUGGGUACUCACUGCUGCGCGAGGAAACGAAACCCUAGUCAUGAUGAAAGACACAAGUUAUAUAUAACAAUAAUAUCUAUGAAGAGAAAGUAUGCAAUCCUUAUGUCGAGCUUCCUUCGGUAAUGUUGCAAAGGAAAGGAGAUAAGUUGUUUCUCUUUAUAAAGCUAAGUAAGGCUAAAGCUCUGUUUCCAUUCCUGUUUAUAAAAAAGAAUGCUAGCACGACUUUCAAAUAACCAGAAAGGAGUGUAGGAUUGAUUCCUCACAUGAUACGCAUUUCCAUCUAAUCUAGUUGGGAUUUAGGUUCCUGCUAGGUGAGAUAUUUAUUUUUAGACAGCUGGAGGUACGAAUUACCCGAUUGUGAAUGCUUCUUACUCGCAGGAAUAAUCCCAUUGUGUCCACGUAUCCACACGAUUGGUUUCUGAACCAGAAGUUCAUUCAUUUUUGAUCGAGAAACAUGGCGCAGGUGUCAGAUUGGAGUGAUUAUUGAUACGUGGUAUGAGCGUACAAAAUGAUUGGGGUUUGGGGUAGUAACACCAAAAGAAGCGUUAGUUGUUGUCUCGGAUUGAGAAGCAGUGGCAUCUUUAGCGGUCAAUGCCCACGAAGGAAGGUCUUUUCUCACUCAUUAUUUAGAUUAGUUAGCCGUGUGCACCUCUUCUUUUUUCCUUUCAGAAUAGAAGAUGGGGUUGUACCUGUCAUCUCUUGAUACCAGUAUUCUAGCUUAUGGUUCCUUUGUCGGUUUCCCCUGACCAUACAUAUCUACUUCGGCGUGUAAAGAAGCUGCUCCGCUGAUUACCCACCAACAGAUGCUUUUGGCGCUCCUACCUUUUCCCUAGGAUGAGUCUCCAAAGCGGGUCACUAAUAGCUUCAGUGUGCAGGAAACUAUGGCCACACCCUUUCCUACUCUAAAGCCGCUGCCCUUACUAAAUAGUGAAGCCGUGCAUACGUUUCCUCACUCAAUCCGUCUGGUAGCAGAAGCCCUUUACCUAGGGUAGGGCUUCACGAGGUUUAAGUUUAAGAUUAUUGAUAGAAUCAACGAAUCUCACUUCUAAUGGGCUUUACUACACUACCAGAGGAGUACAAGCUUGAAACGGGCAGCAGCUACACACUACCUAUACAAUAUAUCAAGACGAAAGCAGGGCGCUUAGGACACUGGAUUGGAAACUUAGACUGCCUUCCCUCUUUACUCGCUUGUUCCACUUGGUAUUCACAAUCAAAGGUCUCCCCAACCAUUAUAACAAGAACCAACCGUUGGAUAGGGCCACCACUCGAUGGGUUGGAUCCUGCUCACCACGCGGAAAACAACCAUACAAUUUAGUAAUUCCGGGGCUUACUAUUCAAGGGCAAAUCAAGUAGAAUUGUGUAUAUAGAUGAAAAAGGAGAAUGGCGAAGAAAGUCAAUUUGUCCAAAGCAUGGUGCCGACCUCCUUCUUUUAUACUACACGAACGAGAAUUCUCAUUUCUUGUGAAUGGGCCCAAUUUCCCUUUUGUUACUGGUCGGGACGACCUAAAUCCUAUAUCGGUUUCUCAAGUGCCAAAUAGAAUAGUUCUUUUCCAAGUUUGGGUAGGAUUCCUGACACCAAUCACAUCUGUAAGUAGCAAAGAUUUAAACAAAUAAUGAGAGGCCUUUAUCUAAUUAAGUUGAAUAAUACACAGAUUGUAAUAAAGGAGCGUGCUAACUGUCACAGAUAGCGUGGAGAUAAACAGCACGUACCGACCAAGUGUCGCGGUAGGUUGGCUGGUGCAGGCAGGUUUGAUAACUCAGUAAGAGAGUAUGACCACUUUGGGAAAUCCCCUAGCUUUCGUCCCUCACUGUCUACAGCGUAGCCGUCAUGGAACCCAGUGUCUUCGUCAAGCAUUCCACUCUAGUUUUCGCUACCAGUGUUUCAACAACACACAAUACCGCCGGCCCCCAUGCCACACAUGUCAAAUUAUAGAAUAGAUCUCGAGUAGAGACAAGAAGACAGCACGCUAAAGCGAUCGAAAUGGUUGUACAUGACUAGUUGUCUCCUGCGGCUCGCGAUAACAUGAAUAUCUCUCAUUCUCUUCCAUUCUUAGGCCUUCUUAAAAUAAGACAAAUAUAAAGCAAUCGAGCCAAAGAGAAAAUCAUGAAGCAUCUAAGGUUUCCUUAUCUUUUUACAAUCUAGCUCCUCCGGAUACGAUCAUGCUUAAUGUUACUAGCACAUGUUAAUGUCUUAAUCUCAUAAUAGACGAAAGAACGAUAGGGAGUUGGUAUCAAAUCCAUACCGAUGAUGAAUGCAUUCCAUUCCAUCGGUUAAGUUGGUAUCCUCAGGAAAAAACAAAGCAGCGGAGUACCCAUUUUUACAUGAGAAAGAAAAUGAGCUGAUUUGAAGCUCUGCUCUUGUUAUGUUGAACAAACGCCCUGCGGGGCACGCCCUCCGGGGGUUUACGCAAGGAAUUCCGUAGAAGAGAGUCUUGGUAAGAAAUAAAUAAAAAUGUACAGUCUACCGCAAGUAAAAAACCCAUAGCUUCUAUCGCUGACGGGGCCUUUCAGGCUAUCUAAAAUACCACCAUCAUAAAGGAGGAUUCGAAGAAGACGGCAUGACCGGGAGAGAGACGCAAGGAUGGG
rnacentral:lncRNA from 1 species